AGUAGAAUUGCUGGAUCAUAUGGUAGUUCUAUUUUUAAUUUUUUGAGGAACUUCUAUGCUAUUUUCCAUAAUGACUGUACUAACUUACAUUCCCACUAAUGGU
rnacentral:pre_miRNA from 1 species